GUUAUGGUAAAAUAAAGCUUAAACAUGUGUAAAGAAAAAAAAGGUUGAUAAUUAAUAUCUAGAGUUAAUAUUCUUGCUAAUAUUAUAUUGUUUAACUUAAAUUGUGCUCAAAUUAUUGUAACGUCCAGUGUUACCUUCAGUUAAUUUAAAAUAUUAAUUAUAAUAAUGUUAUCUCAGUGAAUCUGGAAUCAACUGACGGGCGAUUCUCCCUCCUUUUCUUGUCUUCAUCUUUCCUCCCCGCCUUAUCCGUAUUUACCCAGUUUCUAUAAUCAUCUUGUUUCUUCAGUCGUUUUCUCGUUCAAAUCAUCUUGAGAUGAAAUGAUGACCUUGAUUUAAGGGCAGGGUAAAUCUUAUAAUGGGUCUAGAUGCAAUUAAGUGAUCCUUCGGAAUAUCUUGGACGGUAAACGGGCUUAACAUUGGACUUGAAUUGGUGCCUUAAACAAUGGAUGAAACUGGUUUCACCUAAUUAAUGGCAUCUUCAACACAUUUAUCCAGAACGAGGUGAAUGGAGGACCGAGUUAAAUCAAAGAAUUUGGAUUGAAAAGCUAAAAGGAAUCAAUUAAUUUCAAUGUUAAUCGAAGCAAAUGUGGGUUGGUGUAUUUAUGUAUGGAAAAGAGUGAAAAAUAAUUGUAAUUUGGCAACAAUUAAGAAGGUUUUACUUCUCAGUCUUCAUUAUCAUCACCACCAUUUCACCUAAUCAAUGUUUUCCAUCAUGGGUUAGGUUUCUUAAUCAAUAUCAAUUAUCAUCAUCAUCUAUUAUGAAUUUUACGAUAACAAUCACGAAUUGGACUGAUUUUUUUUCCUGUUGAAUUAUUUUUAUUUGAUUUGGGCGAUUCUAUUACAAUCCUAUUAAUGAUAUCAACAACACCAAUAAUAAUGGUAUUAUUUCUUGUUCACCUUCAGAUUGGUUUUUUUGUUAAUUCACAUUUCUAUUACUUUGAUUGGAUUCUGUUGAUGAACGAAACAAAAAUUUCAAUAAUAUCGAUGAUUGCUGAUCAAAAUGCCUUUAUAACAAUUCAACUUAAAAACCCAUCCUGCGAUUAUCAACAAUUUAAUCUGGCCAAAUUGAUUGUUGAUGAAACAAGCCACCUUUCAUUAAAUUGCGUUUACCUCCUUUAAGACCAUAAUUUUGUGAAGAUGAAUAGAGUAACAAUUAACACUUGAAUACAUUGAAAA